AGAUUAAGUUAUUAAGGGCGCACGGUGGAUGCCUUGGCACUAGAAGCCGAUGAAGGACGUUACUAACGACGAUAUGCUUUGGGUAGCUGUAAGUAAGCGUUGAUCCAGAGAUUUCCGAAUGGGGGAACCCAGCAUGAGUUAUGUCAUGUUAUCGACAUGUGAAUUCAUAGCAUGUCAGAAGGCAGACCCGGAGAACUGAAACAUCUUAGUACCCGGAGGAAGAGAAAGAAAAAUCGAUUCCCUGAGUAGCGGCGAGCGAAACGGGAAGAGCCCAAACCAACAAGCUUGCUUGUUGGGGUUGUAGGACACUCUAUACGGAGUUACAAAAG
rnacentral:rRNA from 1 species